rnacentral:tRNA from 1 species
GGCGAUGUAGCUCAAUGGUGUAGCUAUAGGUACAAGGCCCUGGGUUCAAUUCCUAGCAUCCCUG